CAGGAACUGGCACUGCAAGAUGAAGCAUGGCUGUCUGAAGACCUGGCAUCUGUGCUGACUCUCAUAGGUACCACACUGGAAGAAUUGGAGAAGAAAACCCAGUGGCAGAGGAGAAAGAAACACCCCUGGCACCACCUUAUACAAGAGGAACAUGGAAGACCUGGGUUUCAAAGAAGCCCUCUGCUGCUUGUGGGAUUCAGGAGCAAAGUACAUUAUUCAACUGGAAAAUGUGACAACCUAAUCAUCCUGAAGGUGGAUGAUUCCUGUGAAUGUGAGCAGGAUUUGGCUCUGGUUAUGGACAAGUGAAGAGGACACCAAAGCAUAAAAUGGAAGCUUAGAAUGACAGAGGAGCUCCUAACCCUGGGGAGCCCAUUUAAGCCAGCCAGCAUGGUUCAGACAAAGCACUAAGAGGGGACACGGUCCCUUUCUGAAAAGAAAGAAAGGAAAUUUCCCCUAAAAGAAAAAUCCAUAAUCAGGAUGACCAUCAAUAGAGAAGAUUCCCUGUUGGUGAGGUACCUUCUUUCGACUGAGAAAAUUCCCCACAUUUGUUGAUUCUGAUCCAGCUGGCCUGACUUGGAUUUGUAACCACCAGAUGCAUUGCAAGCA
rnacentral:lncRNA from 1 species